GGGCGUUUAGCUCAGUUGGCUAGAGCGCAUCCCUUACAAGGAUGAGGUCGCUGGUUCGAGCCCAGCAACGCCCA
rnacentral:tRNA from 1 species